rnacentral:rRNA from 1 species
ACGCUCGACACCUACGGGAAGCAGCAGUGAGGAAUAUUGGUCAAUGGGCGCUAGCCUGAACCAGCCAAGUAGCGUGAAGGAUGAAGGCUCUAUGGGUCGUAAACUUCUUUUAUAUAAGAAUAAAGUGCAGUAUGUAUACUGUUUUGUAUGUAUUAUAUGAAUAAGGAUCGGCUAACUCCGUGCCAGCAGCCGCGGUAAUCUGAGCCGGGCUGGCAAGGC